CUGAAUGAGCAAGAGAUAAGGCUCCUCUUAUCUUCUCAUCAGAUCUUUGUUUCUUUCUUCUUCUUCUUUUUUUUUGCUUUUUUGGUUAUGUUUUUCUCGAUUUAGACAAAAACCCUAGACUUGAUUUUCCAAAAGGUGUCUUAAAUAGUAUCUCUUUCCUCUAUUCAUGUUUGUGUGUUUUCUCUCUAUGGUUCCUUGUCUACUUUAGUUAAAACCCAGAUCUAACCUUUAAUCUUCUCAUCGUUUCACUGAUCUCGUGAUUAAUGUUCUCUUUUUCAUGUUGUAGAUCUCUGGAGAUGGAAGAACUGCGAGUGAAUGAGUUGGGACAAAAGAAAAACAUAGCAACUGACAGAAGAGAGUGAGCACACAAAAGUAAUCUGCAUAUACUGCAUUUGCUUCUCUUGCGUGCUCACUGCUCUUUCUGUCAGAUUCUAGUGCUGAUCUCUUUGGCCUGUCCUUGUUCUCUUUGUCUCAAUCUCUCUCUCUCUCUCACAUACGCAAUCUCUCUCUACUUCUCUUGUUCAUCUCAAAUAAAGUUCUAUCUUUCGGUUAACUGAUGAGUCGUUGGGCUGAAACCAUGGUGAUACUGAUACCGGUGAGAAUUGUGUGGUCAGACGUGUGUAUCACAUCGGAAGCGAUCUUUGUAUAUAAUGCAAUCGUUGUGAUGUUUGCGUCUCAAAUGCACAAUAUGUUCUAGCUUUAAUUAGCUAAGUCAGUACUCAAUACUAAUAUUGUUGAAGCAAUUGGGAAAUAUGAACCAUAUUGUGUAUGGAUUUCUGAGUUGAAUGAUUUAAAAUUAGUUGGUUCCAGCUA